CCCCGCCAGAUAUAUAAGAUAGUCUUAGCAUAUUUUACUUUUACUACCACUGUUUUGGUAUAGAUAGUAAGAGUAGAAGUUAGCUGUUGGUUGUUGUUUUUGUGUAGUUGAUAGAUAUAGUUCAGAGUGCCUAGCUAGUCCACUGUUAGAGUAGGUAGGCCUUAAGGCCCCUCAUAAGACCUCCCCAGUAGGGGAGCACAAGGACACAGACAGAUUUGUGGCCUUCGAACUACUGGGGCCAGCAGCUUCUCUGUCAUAAUGGGGCCCAGAGACCCCACAAGGGAGAGAAAGUUGUGAUCAAGAUGAUGAAGAAGCUGGGCACCCUACGCCUGAAGAUGGUACACAAAAAGGUGUCAUCAUGGAAGGUUUCACACAUCUCAGCCUCAUGCCACUGCUGGGCACAACUGAGGUGGAAGACAGGCUGGUCCUGGUCAUGCCCUAUGUGACGGGGGGAGCCCUCAGGGCCUAUCUAUUGCAGAACACCCUCAUGAGGGAGGAAGAGGAGGAGGAGGAGGCCAAGGCCUGUUGCACCCGCUGGUGUCAGCUAUGCAAUAUUGUCACUCAAAUGGAGUAGCUCAUAGAGACCUGAAACCCAAGAACAUGCUCCUAGAGAGCCUGGACCAGGUCAAGGUCACCAGCUUCAGUCGGAGUCACAUUUUCUGCAGCAGCCAAUGGAAACCCUGUGUGGCACAACAGUAUGCAUGGAAUCUAAGAUAAUGAUGCGGGGCAACUAUGGGGCCAGGGUGGGUGUCUGGAGCCUGGGGUUGGUGCUCAAAGAGAUGGUGAGGAAACGUCUGUCAUCUGUGCCAGGAGCAUCCAGGGAUCCAUUCACACAGAGGCACUGGCUCUCUUCUAAAGUCCUACAACUUAUGGACAGCAUACCCCAAACUGACCCCCAAGGUCGAAUGGAGUGGUCAUACAUCAUGAGCCUCCUACAUCAUGAGCAUAAAUCAUGAGGGCUCUGGGCCAAUCAGGUCUACAUGGAGCCCACCCCCUCCUCUAGCCCUCCCACACUAGCCUGUCCUUCCCAGUCAGCCCCUCAGGGUGUUCCCAAGGAGGAGACGCUUGUCUUACUCACAGGUCGUGGGUAUCAGCUACCAGGAGGACAAGGCAAGGGAGCCUAGCAACACCCCAAGCGCUCCAGACUCCCCACCUUUCCCCCAGUGCCUCUGGACACACUGCACAGCAGCUGCACUGUCUCCAGGCCCUCCUCUGCAGCCAGCCUGGCACACAGAAAGAAGAGCUUCCCCCUUCCAGCGGGGUGCAAUGGCCAUCAGUGGCCCCUCCACCUGGAUCCCUUCUGCCAGGGGGCAGCCUGGAGCUGCUGAGCUGCCUCCUGUGGCUGUGCUGCUGCCACGGCCCCUGCACACAGCCAUGAGGACCUAUGUCCACCUGGCCCAGAUAUGAGGACACAGAGCCCCUCUGAGGGUCUGGUGGCAGCUGAGAGCUAAGUGAUGGGCCCUGCAUCCAGCUGAUCCCUGGGAGCUCUGUUUCCACAGCACUGCUUCUGCCUGUGGGUAUGAACAGUCUGUGGCUGAAGACCCUGCAGUCUGAUGGGGUGCAAACCAGAAAGUGAGAUAAAACAUAAUAAUGCCUUAAGAAAUAAAAUAAUGCUAUAAUGAAUUAACCUUAACUAAAGGUAAAAUAUAAAAUGGAAUUUUAAAAUGUGGCAGAAAUAAUAAAAUUCAAAAUCA